AUGCCAGGGCUGCUGCCUGGGUGGUAGCCAUUCAUGCUGGCUUGUGUGCACUUGGAGUGCAGGGACUAGUUAAUGGGGAAAUUACAGAUGACUCUGCAUGGUGGCUUCUCUGAUUUACAUUUGUGGUAAAACCCAAGACAACUGAUCUGUAACUCUGACUUGAACUGGGCCCUUACAUGGAAAUUUUUCCAGCCUGUGGCAGUACCUAAAAGGCUUUCUGGGAAGAGUUCAAGAGCCUCCUCUUCCUAUGGUAGCCCUUGCCAGGGUAUUUUAACUUCCUUUAUUAUAUCAAUCAUGAGUGUCCUGAAUACCCUUCCCAUGUCACCAAAGCCAUGUUCACUAGAGUCACAUGCUGGUGAUGGGUUUAAAAAAAAAAAAAUUCUCAGGCAAUGCAAAAUGAUCAAUUCAGGGUACUGAAAGUUAGAACCAAAUAUCUGAAUCUGAAUAUCUGAAUCAAAGUUUUAAAAGUUAAGGCACACAAAAGUCCUUUGAAUUUCAGUAAUGACCAAAGCAUACUAAACUGAUCAACACAGGAAAAACAAAAAAGAAUGAAGGGAUAAAGGACUGAUAACGGGACAAAGGAAUGGAUGUACCAAGUUCUGACAAACACUGGAAUCACAUUUCAAAUCCAGGGCUGUCCAAUGCAAUUCAUACUCACGCUAAAAGUAAGUCAUGGAUCUCAGUCUACCUUCCCUGCACUGUUUUCCCUCAUGGCAAUGAGAAAAUGCUUUUCCUCUCACAUUAGAGAGAUUCGUUUCAUACUCCUAGUUAAAAAAAAAAAAAAUUAAGGUAAAUUAUGAGCCAACGAGUCACUACAUGUUCAAAUGCAUUUGCCGAAUUAGGAACUCAACAUCUUCACUCCCUUUAAUUGCUUUGAGGCAGUGAACUACAAACAGCCUUGGUUAAAGCAAGAACUACAAGCACAUACACAUACUCACCAAAUUCUUGGUCAUAAUGAAAUUCUUAAGUUCAAACUAAUCAAAAGAGGAAGGAAGAACUACCAUCUGUCUCCCCACCAUAUUAGCCUGUUAGGUUCAUAUAUUUCAGACUGGUUAAAAAAGGCUUCACCAAAUGUAGCACCAAUGAAAGUUCAACUGCUGAAAUAGCUGUUGAUUUUGGUAACUAACUAAAAGUCAGGUAAUAAAGGAUACAAAUGCCUUCUGAUGAUUGUUUAGUCUCACUCCCCCUGAUUUAAGCCCCUGAAAAGUGUCACCCUUUUGAUGUGAAGCAAAUAUAGCAUUUUCCCCUAUAGGAAAUACUGUGCCUCAAUCAAAAUGCACUGCAUACUGUGCUUCAUCUAUCUCAGGACAUUUAGGAAAACUGGACAACCACAAAAAAAGUAAAGGGCAGGUUCUAGCCCAUGAGAUAUAAGACCAGUAAUGAUCCUGACAUGAUAAAAAGUAAUCAUUUCAUAGACAUUGGUAAAGCUGCCUGGAAACAUCAGUGAUUCUAUCCCUUCAAGUAUUAUUAGAAACAGAGACUCAGGAGAUAUAAUAAACACUUAAAGCCAUCUUGUCAUUGGCAAGUGAUGCCAACAAUGUUACCAUAACUGAAUCGCUUCUUAGAAUCUACAAGUGACCCUUACGUAUUUUAUUCUUGAUACUUCUGAUGAAAACUGGCCUUUUAUGAAAGAACGGACUGUAAGAUAGUUUAGAUUUACUGCUAUAUACAAGGUCUCAGAUGUUAAAUUUAAGAUGUGAAGUGUUAUGUGCAUAUUUUUAAAAAUUUUAAGAAUACACUGAGAUAAGAAAAUUCAAAUAUAUAUGAACAAUAUUAAAGUCUUUUGAUGAUUUCUUUCACUCUUCCUGUUUAAGUAAGUAAAAUAUUUCAAUUUCCAUGAGCACAACUGAUAAUAUAACAUGGGUUUUCCAGGUGUUCAAUCCCCUUAUCUGCUUUACAAGCUGCUUUGCCAAAAAGGCAAAGUUUCCUGAAGGAAUCCCAUCUUUGUUAGUUCCUUAGACUUUGUUAAGCCUUGCCUACCCUACAGUUCCCAAUAAAUUAUAUCCUUCUUCACACUAUAGGGUUUAUUUUGUGGGUUGGGAGUGGCUUUCUUAUUUUUCUUCUAAUGAAAAAAUUAAGGAAACUGGAAGAAAGUAUGGAUGUUAGUUAAUAAUAAUGCAUCCAUGCCUGUUCAUUCAUUGUAAUGCAAUUAAUGUGCCAUGCUAAUGU
rnacentral:lncRNA from 1 species